GCCCGGAUGGCGGAAUAGGCAGACGCGCAUGGUUCAGGUCCAUGUCUCAGCAAUGAGGUGCAGGUUCGAUUCCUGUUCCGGGCACCC
rnacentral:tRNA from 1 species